UACAGAGGAUGCGAGCGUUAAUCGGAUUUACUGGGCGUAAAGCGUGCGUAGGCGGCUUUUUAAGUCGGAUGUGAAAUCCCCGAGCUUAACUUGGGAAUUGCAUUCGAUACUGGGAAGCUAGAGUAUGGGAGAGGAUGGUAGAAUAUCGAGGUGUAGCGGUGAAAUGCGUAGAGAUCUGGAGGAUACCGAUGGCGAAGGCAGGCUAUCUGGACUAGUACUGACGCUGAUGUACGAAAGCGUGGGGAGCGAACAGGAUUAGAUACCCUGGUAGUCCAUGCCGUAAACGAUGGCUACUAGCCGUUGGGGCCUUUGAGGCUUUAGUGGCGCAGCUAACACGAUAAGUAGACCGCCUGGGGAGUACGGUCGCAAGACUAAAACUCAAAUGAAUUGACGGGGGCCCGCACAAGCGGUGGAGCACGUGGUUUAAUUCGAUGCAACGCGAAGAACCUUACCUCGCCUUGACAUACUAGAAACUCUCCAGAGAUGGAUUGGUGCCUUCGGGAAUCUAGAUACAGGUGCUGCAUGGCUGUCGUCAGCUCGUGUCGUGAGAUGCUGGGUUAAGUCCCGCAACGAGCGCAACCCUUUUCCUUACUUGCCAGCAUUUCGGAUGGGAACUUUAACGAUACUGCCAGUGACAAACUGGAGGAAGGCGGGGACGACGUCAAGUCAUCAUGGCCCUUACGGCCAGGGCUACACACGUGCUACAAUGGUCGGUACAAAGGGCUGCCACACAGCGAUCUGAUGCUAAUCUCAAAAAGCCGAUUGUAGUCCGGAUUGGAGUCUGCAACUCGACUCCAUGAAGUCGGAAUCGUUAGUAAUCGCGGAUCAGAAUGCCGCGGUGAAUACGUUCCCGGGCCU
rnacentral:rRNA from 1 species